rnacentral:rRNA from 1 species
UACAGAGGUCUCAAGCGUUGUUCGGAUUCAUUGGGCGUAAAGGGUGCGUAGGCGGCGCGGUAAGGCGGGUGUGAAAUCUCGGAGCUUAACUCCGAAACUGCAUUCGAUACUGCCGUGCUUGAGGACUGGAGAGGAGACUGGAAUUUACGGUGUAGCGGUGAAAUGCGUAGAUAUCGUAAGGAAGACCAGCGGCGAAGGCGGGUCUCUGGACAGUUCCUGACGCUGAGGCACGAAGGUCAGGGGAGCAAACGGG